rnacentral:rRNA from 1 species
GACGAACGCUGGCGGUGUGCUUAACACAUGCAAGUGGAGCGACGAACCAGGGCUUGCCCUGGGGCAGAGCCGCGAACGGGUGAGUAACACGUGGGUAACCUACCCCGAUGACCGGGACAACCCGAGGAAACUCGGGCUAAUACCGGAUAUGUUCGAUGUCCAUGAGGACGUCGUGCAAAGGAAGCUUCGGCCUCCGCAUUGGGAGGGGCCCGCGGCCCAUUAGCUUGUUGGUGGGGUAACGGCCUACCAAGGCUGCGAUGGGUAGCUGGUCUGAGAGGACGAUCAGCCACACUGGGACUGAGACACGGCCCAGACUCCUACGGGAGGCAGCAGUGGGGAAUCUUGCGCAAUGCGCGAAAGCGUGACGCAGCAACACCGCGUGAGGGAAGACGGCCUCGGUU